GGUCUCGGGCGGAUUAGUGGCGAACGGGUGAGUAAUACGUGAGUAACCUGCCCUUGACUCUGGGAUAAGCCUGGGAAACUGGGUCUAAUACUGGAUACUACCUCUUACCGCAUGGUGGGUGGUGGAAAGGGUUUUACUGGUUUUGGAUGGGCUCACGGCCUAUCAGCUUGUUGGUGGGGUAAUGGCUCACCAAGGCGACGACGGGUAGCCGGCCUGAGAGGGUGACCGGCCACACUGGGACUGAGACACGGCCCAGACUCCUACGGGAGGCAGCAGUGGGGAAUAUUGCACAAUGGGCGGAAGCCUGAUGCAGCGACGCCGCGUGAGGGAUGACGGCCUUCGGGUUGUAAACCUCUUUCAGUAGGGAAGAAGCGAGAGUGACGGUACCUGCAGAAGAAGCGCCGGCUAACUACGUGCCAGCAGCCGCGGUAAUACGUAGGGCGCAAGCGUUGUCCGGAAUUAUUGGGCGUAAAGAGCUCGUAGGCGGUUUGUCGCGUCUGCUGUGAAAGCCCGGGGCUCAACCCCGGGUCUGCAGUGGGUACGGGCAGACUAGAGUGCAGUAGGGGAGACUGGAAUUCCUGGUGUAGCGGUGAAAUGCGCAGAUAUCAGGAGGAACACCGAUGGCGAAGGCAGGUCUCUGGGCUGUUACUGACGCUGAGGAGCGAAAGCAUGGGGAGCGAACAGGAUUAGAUACCCUGGUAGUCCAUGCCGUAAACGUUGGGCACUAGGUGUGGGGGACAUUCCACGUUUUCCGCGCCGUAGCUAACGCAUUAAGUGCCCCGCCUGGGGAGUACGGCCGCAAGGCUAAAACUCAAAGGAAUUGACGGGGGCCCGCACAAGCGGCGGAGCAUGCGGAUUAAUUCGAUGCAACGCGAAGAACCUUACCAAGGCUUGACAUUCACCGGACCGCCCCAGAGAUGGGGUUUCCCUUCGGGGCUGGUGGACAGGUGGUGCAUGGUUGUCGUCAGCUCGUGUCGUGAGAUGUUGGGUUAAGUCCCGCAACGAGCGCAACCCUCGUUCUAUGUUGCCAGCACGUGAUGGUGGGGACUCAUAGGAGACUGCCGGGGUCAACUCGGAGGAAGGUGGGGAUGACGUCAAAUCAUCAUGCCCCUUAUGUCUUGGGCUUCACGCAUGCUACAAUGGCCGGUACAAAGGGUUGCGAUACUGUGAGGUGGAGCUAAUCCCAAAAAGCCGGUCUCAGUUCGGAUUGAGGUCUGCAACUCGACCUCAUGAAGUCGGAGUCGCUAGUAAUCGCAGAUCAGCAACGCUGCGGUGAAUACGUUCCCGGGCCUUGUACACACCGCCCGUCAAGUCACGAAAGUUGGUAACACCCGAAGCCGGUGGCCUAACCCCUUGUGGGAGGGAGCCGUCGAAGGUGGGACUGGCGAUUGGGACUAAGUCGUAAAAGGGUAACCGA
rnacentral:rRNA from 1 species